CAGGACAGUAUGAACCUGUCACAUUUGAACUCUCCCCUUUUUCUGAUUCAGAUGGAGGGGAGAAGCAGUUCCAGACGGGCAGGCUGCUCCCACAGCGAAGAAAGAAGCCGGUAGACUGGAUCCCGGGGUGAUUACUGACUCCCAGGGUCAGUUUGCUGGCUGGCUGUUCAGUCACUGUCUUGCCCUUUUUCUGGGGUAUGCCCGCCCCUCUUUUUUCCCCUCUCCAGCAGAAUGAAAGGAGCCUGUGUAAACCCAACAGAAUCACAGUGCCCAAGCGGAGGAUACACUCCACAGCUUCCUUGUUUGUACAUGGAUCUUCCAGAGAACAAGAUUGGCAUCAACAUUCCCCCUGCACUAAGGAGAACUUUGCUCAAUGUAUCUCACCUCAGAAUGUUUGGUCCUCCUGGGUUGAGCAGCAUGGCAAGGUGGCACUCAGGGUUCAUUUCCUUUGGACACCAAAAUCAGGACCUGAUACUGCAAGGAUCCCCGAUGCCGCUUGAGAUGAAGGGGAAUGCUUCAUUAAAGUGCUGAGAAAAGACCAGAGUAACAUGACUUUCCUGUUGAGAUUCUCUCAGAAGUUCCUCUGCUUUCCUUGGGGCUCCUCACAGGGUGAACGCAUGCAGAGCCAUUCGGCCUCAGCAGCCGUGCAACACAGCAAGAAAUAAUCUGCCCAGCUCUGGGGUCAAAAACAUUUCUAUCCCACGAGGCAAUAAAGACAAUAGGGUUUAUUUUCCUCUUUGACGC
rnacentral:lncRNA from 1 species